rnacentral:rRNA from 1 species
UAGGGAAUCUUCGGCAAUGGACGGAAGUCUGACCGAGCAACGCCGCGUGAGUGAAGAAGGUUUUCGGAUCGUAAAGCUCUGUUGUAAGAGAAGAACGAGCGUGAGAGUGGAAAGUUCACACUGUGACGGUAUCUUACCAGAAAGGGACGGCUAACUACGUGCCAGCAGCCGCGGUAAUACGUAGGUCCCGAGCGUUGUCCGGAUUUAUUGGGCGUAAAGCGAGCGCAGGCGGUUAGAUAAGUCUGAAGUUAAAGGCUGUGGCUUAACCAUAGUACGCUUUGGAAACUGUUUAACUUGAGUGCAAGAGGGGAGAGUGGAAUUCCAUGUGUAGCGGUGAAAUGCGUAGAUAUAUGGAGGAACACCGGUGGCGAAAGCGGCUCUCUGGCUUGUAACUGACGCUGAGGCUCGAAAGCGUGGGGAGCAAACAGGAUUAGAUACCCUGGUGGUCCACGCCGUAAACGAUGAGUGCUAGGUGUUAGACCCUUUCCGGGGUUUAGUGCCGUAGCUAACGCAUUAAGCACUCCGCCUGGGGAGUACGACCGCAAGGUUG